rnacentral:rRNA from 1 species
UACGGGGGGAGCAAGCGUUGUUCGGAUUUACUGGGCGUAAAGGGCGCGUAGGCGGCGUGACAAGUCACUUGUGAAAUCUCCGGGCUUAACCCGGAGCGGUCAAGUGAUACUGUCGUGCUAGAGUGCGGAAGGGGCUACUGGAAUUCUCGGUGUAGCGGUGAAAUGCGUAGAUAUCGAGAGGAACACCUGCGGCGAAGGCGGCUUACUGGGGCAGUUCUGACGCUGAGAGACGAGAGCUAGGGGAGCGAAAGGG